UAAAGUGCUGGGAUUACAGGUGUGGGCCACCGCGCCCGACCUACAGGCGCCUUUUUAUUUGCGAUUUUAAGGUCCUUGCAAUUAGCCUACGUGUUAGAGUCAUUUGGCGUUUGGUAGUAUCCAUGGCAGCAUUUUUUCUUUCUUAAUGCUAUUGUAUUUCUUGGAUCGGGUGUCUUCACAUCACCGGCCUGUGGCUUGGAUGCGGCACAUGGUGUAAUUAGGAGCUCCCCUGUGGGCAUGCAGAUACAGAUAUUUCUCCACUUAAGAAGGGGUCAGGGGGCGCGGUGGCUCACACCUGUAAUCCCAGCACUUUGGGAUGCUGAGGCAGGCGGAUCACCUGAGGUCAGGAGUUCGAGACCAGCCUGACCAACAUAGUGAAACCCCAUCUCUACUAAAAGUACAAAAAUUAGCUCGGCGUGGUGGCGCUUAAUCCCAGCUACUUAAGAGGCUGAGGCAGGAGAAUAACUUGAACCCAAGAAGCGGAGGUUGCAGUGAGCAGAGAUCGACAAGAGCAAGACUCCGUCUAAAAAAAAAAAAAAAAAAUGGGGUCAAGUCCCAGUGAACCCAUCAUGAAGUCGAAACAUCGUAAGUGAAACCACGAGAUGUUCACAGGUACCUGGAGUUUCUUCCUUCUGGUGGGUUCGUGGUCUCACUGACUUCAGGAGUAAAGUCGCAGACCUUCGCAGUGAGUGUUACAGCUCUUAAAGGUGGCACGUUGGGAGUUGUUUGUUCCUCCGGGGGGUUCGUGGUAUUGCUGACUUGAGGAGUGAAGCUGCAGACCUUCACGCUGAGUGUUACAGCUCAUAAAGGUAGUACAGACCCAAAAAAUGAGCAACAGCAAGAUUUACUGCAAAGAGCAAAAGAACAAAGCCUCCACAGCAUGUAAGAGUACCCCAGCGGGUUGCCCCCGCUGGCGCAGGUGGCCAGCUUUUAUUCCCUUAUUUGGCCCCACCCACAUCCUGCUGAUUGGUCCAUUUUACAGAGCGCUGAUUGGUCCAUUUUUACAGAGUGCUGAUUGGUGCCUUUACAAACCUUUAGCUAACACAGAGUGCUGAUUGGUGUGUUUUUACAGAGUGCUGAUUGGUGUGUUUACAAACCUUUAGCUAGACACAGAGCACUGAUUGGUGCAUUUACAAUCCUUUAGCUAGACAGAAAAGUUCUCCAGGUCCCCACCUGAUUAGCUAGACACAGAGCGCCGAUUGGUGCGUUUUUACAGAGUGCUGAUUGGUGUGUUUACAAACCUUUAGCUAGUCACAGAGCGCUGAUUGGUGCAUUUACAAUCCUUUUUAGCUAGACAGAAAAGUUCUCCAAGUCCCCACCCGACCCAGAAGCCCAGCUGGCUUUGCCUCUCAGUACCACUGCUCUCCAGCCUGGGCGACAGAGCAAGACUCCGUCUCAAAAAAAAAAAAAUAGCACUAAAAGAAACUUAUUAAAAAAGAAAAACAUUGUCAGGUCAGGCUAAAGGUUAAAGAGGAAAAAAAAUCACAGGGUAGGGUCAAAGAGUGGCGAUAACAGAGAAGAGAGUCAUGAGACUUGAAAUUAAAUAAUAGAAAUUACUCAAUAUUAACUGCAGAGAGAAAAUAGACUGAAAAAAAUUAGCAGAGCCUCAGUAACCUGUGGGACUGUGAUGAAAGAUUUAACAUCAUGUCAUCAAAGUCCCCCCAAAAAAGAGAAAAAAGCAUGAAGCUGAAAAAUAUUCAAAGAUAUGAUGGCUCAAGAUUUUCCAAAAAUUGCAAAAGACAUAGCCUAAACCGAAUAAACUCCUAACAAGUCUGAGGCAAUCUAUAUCAAUAUAUAUAUCAUAAUCAAACGCCUGAAAACUAAAGGCAAAGAAAAAAGUAUUAAAAACAGCAAGACAGAAAUUCUACCAUAUUUAUAAGGGAAAAGCAAUUUUUUUUUUUUUUGAGAUGGAGUCUCGCUCUUUUGUCAGGCUGGAGUGCAGUGGUGCAAUCUCGGCUCACUGCCACCUCUGCCUCCCGAGUUCAAGCGAUUCUCCUCCCUCAGCCUCCAGAGUAGCUGGGACUACAGGCGCGCACCACCAUGCCCAGCUAAUUUUUGUAUUUUUAGUAGAGACAGGGUUUCACUGCGUUGGCCAGGAUGGUCUCAAUCUCUUGAUCUCAUGAUCCGCCCACCUCGGCCUCCCAAAGUGCUGGGAUUACAGGCGUGAGCCACCGCGCCCUGCCAGGAAAAGCAAUUUUUAAAUGACGGCAUAUUUCUCCUCCGAAAUCACAGAGACCAGAAGGAAGUGACACAGUAUUUUCCAAGUGCUGAAAGAAAAGCAGUGUCAAUCGAGAAUUCUAUUAUCCAGUGAAAACAGCCUUCAAAAAUGGAAGGGAUAUCAGGGCAAUCUCAGAUGAAGAACUACUAAGAAUUUGUCACCAGCAGACCUACCAUUAAAAAAAUGGCUAAAGGAAAUUCUUGAAAUAGAAAGGAAAUGAUAAGUCUUAGAACAUCAGGGAGGAACACAGAACAACAGAAAGAGUAAAAAUAUAGAUAAAUACACUAGACAUUUCUUCUGCUGAGUUUUCGAGAGUAUCUUUGUCCAAGCAAAAAUUUUAACAUUGUCUAACAUGGUUAUUGAAGUAUGUAGAAGAAUCAUUAAGAUAAUUGUAAGUGAGAGAGGGUAAAAUGACUUAAAAGAAUUGUAAGGUUUCUAUGCUUCAGUCAAACUGGUAAAAUGUCAACACUAGUAGACUGAGAUAUCAAUAUAAUGUAAUAUGUAGAGCAGCUAUUAAAUAAUUUACACAAAGAGAUACACACUAAAUCACUAGACAUAUCAAAAUGGAAUUCUAAAAAGGUGCUAGUAACCCAAAGGAAAGUACGAAAAAGAAAACAGAGAAACCAAGAACAGAGGAAACAAAGAUAACAAAAAAAUUCUAUGGAAGACCUAAGACUUAAUAUACAGGUAAUUACAUUAAAUAUAAACAGUCUAAAUACACUAAUAAAAAGAUAGAUUAGUGAGUGAAACAAGCCAGGCACACAAAGUCAAAUAUCACCUGUUUUCACUCAUAAGUGGGUGCUAAAAAAUGUGUACACAUGAAGACAGAGAUUGGGGUGACAGACAAUGAAGACUUGGAAGGGUGAAGGAGUAUGAGGGGGUCAUAUGAUAGGUAAUUCCUAAUUGGGUACAAUGCGCAUUAUUUGGGUAAUGGAUACCCUAAAAGCCCUGACUUGACCACUAUGUAAUCUAUGCAUAUAACAAAACUGCAUACGGCCGGGCUCAGUGGCUCACGCCUGUAAUCCCAGCACUUUGGGAGGCUGAGGUGUGUAGAUCACUUGAGGUCCAGAGUUCAAGACCAGGUGGGCCAACAUGGUGAAACCCCAUCUCUACUAAAAAUACAAAAAUUAGCUGGGCAUCGUGGCAGGUGGCUGUAAUCCCAGCUACUCAGGAGGCUGAGGCAGGAGAAUCACUUGAACCCAGGAGGUGAAGGUUGUAGUGAGCUGAGAUUGCUCCACUGCACUCCAGCCUGGGUGACAGAGUGAGACUCCAUCUCUAAAUAAAUAAAUCAGCAGGUAUUUAUAAACAUAGGCCAGAUAAUGUCACUUCUCUGCUCACAACCUUCCACUGGUACCACAUCUCACAGCAAAUGGAAGCCAAAGGCCUUACAAUAUUAGCAACAGCCCCAGCUUUCAGGCCACAAAAUUCAUCUUGAAACUGUAGCCUACUGAGUAUUCUUAACGUAAACAUUUCCUUAAUAUAAAGCAGUAUAUAUUCGCUGUAGAAAAACUGAAAAAUAUAAAACAUGUAAAGGGGGAAAUUACUUAUAAUUCCACAGUCUAAAAUAGCCACUACACUGGUUUUUUUAAUAUAUAUAUCUUUUUGUAAAUCUAGUUUUUACAAUUUAAUGAUACUGAGGCAAACAAAUUUGCCACAUCCAUAAAAAUUUUGAAAUCAAAUAGAAAUAAAAUAAUAAAAAGACAGAUUGGCAGAGUAGGUGUUUUUUGUUUGUUUGUUUCUGUUUGUUUUUUUAAAAAAUAGAACCAACAGCAAGCAUAGUGGCUCACACUGGACGCUGAGGUAGGAGGGAGCCCAGGAGUUGGAGACCAACUUGGGCAACCAUAGCAAUGUAGCAGGACGAGCCGCAGACAAAACUCAGACACCGAGUUAAAUAAGGAAGGGGUUUAUUCGGCGGGGGGCAUUGGCAAGACUCCUGUCUCAAGAGCAGAGCUCUCCGAGUGAGCAAUUCCUGUACCUUUUAAGCGCUCACAACUCUACGGGGGUGCGCGUGAGAGGGUCUUGAUCGAUUGAGCAAGCAGGGGGUACGUGACUGGGGGCUGCAUGCACCGGUAAUUAGAUGGGAACAAAACAGGAUAGGGAUUUCCACACUGCUUUUCUAUACAAUGUCUGUAAUCUAUAGAUAAUAUAACCGAUUAGGUCAGGGGUCGAUCUUUAACUACCAGGCCCAGGGUGUGAUGCCGGGCUGUCUGCUUGUGGAUUUCAUUUCUGCCUUUUAGUUUUUACUUUUUCUUUCUUUGGAGGCAGAAAUUGGGCAUAAGACAAUAUGAGGGGUGGUCUCCUCCCUUAGCAAGACUUGGUCCCUACACAUUUUUUUUUUUUUUUUUUUUUUUUUUUUUUUUGAGACGGAGUCUCGCUCUGUCGCCCAGGCUGGAGUGCAGUGGCACCAUCCCGGCUCACUGCAAGCUCCGCCUCCUGGGUUCACGCCUUUCUCCUGCCUC
rnacentral:lncRNA from 1 species